rnacentral:misc_RNA from 1 species
GGUCCAAUCCGCAAAUUACAGUAGUCUUUGAAUAAUUCCCAUGUCAACCUAGGCUGUUCCUGUUCUAACCUGUAGAACCAUAAUUGUGCGUCUCCUGGCAUAUGGAAGGCUGCCAAUUUAACUUUAUUAGAUUCUUGUGUUUUUUCGUUAACAAAAAAUUGUUCACAUCGAGGCAACCAUCUUAGUGGAUCCUCAGUCCCAUGAAACGAUGGGAAGUCUAGUUUAGCAUAACGCUGCACCAUUUCUUCCCCUGGUUGAGCUUCAUAUUGGUCCUUUUCCUUUCCAACAGUAUUCGAAUUGCGACUUUCUGUCCCACUUUCUGUAUCCUUGUUUUUGUCCCCUACAACAUUGAGGAAUUCUUGCAACAGUUGUGACAGUUGUUGUAAUUGAUUUUCUGUUCACGCCGUUCGAGC